UACAGAGGCCUCGAGCGUUAGGCGGAAUCACUGGGCUUAAAGCGUGUGUAGGCGGACCCCUAAGUGUCUUGUGAAAUCCCACGGCUCACCCGUGGAACCGCUGGGCAUACUGGGGGUCUUGGGCCAUUCAGGGGCGACUGGAACAAGCGGUGGAGCGGUGAAAUGCGUAGAUAUCGCUUGGAACGCCGACGGUGAAAACAGGUCGCUGGGAAUGUGCCGACGCUGAGACACGAAAGCCAGGGGAGCAAACGGG
rnacentral:rRNA from 1 species